rnacentral:ncRNA from 2 species
GACUUAUCCAGAAAGGCGGAGGGACUUGGCCCUGCGAUGCCUUAGCAACCAACCUGCAGAAAUGUAGGGAAAGGUGCUAAUUCCGGCCCCGGUUAUACGAUAACCGAGGGAAGAUAAGUU